AGAGUUUGAUCCUGGCUCAGGACGAACGCUGGCGGCGUGCCUAACACAUGCAAGUCGAGCGAUGAAAGAGAAGUGGCGGUCUUCGGACCAAAGCAUUUCUGGAUUAGCGGCGGACGGGUGAGUAACACGUGAGCAACCUGCCUAUCACAUCGGGAUAGCCUCGGGAAACUGGGAUUAAUACCGAAUGAAACAUAUUGGUAACCUUAUCGAAAUGUCAAAGAUUUAUCGGUGAUAGAUGGGCUCGCGUCUGAUUAGCUAGUUGGUGAGAUAAAAGCCCACCAAGGCAAUGAUCAGUAGCCGGCCUGAGAGGGUGAUCGGCCACAUUGGGACUGAGACACGGCCCAAACUCCUACGGGAGGCAGCAGUGGGGAAUAUUGCGCAAUGGGGGAAACCCUGACGCAGCGACGCCGCGUGAGCGAAGAAGGCCUUAGGGUCGUAAAGCUCUGUUUUAAGGGACGAAUAUCCUCAGUAGUAACUGACUGGGGAAUGACGGUACCUUAAGAGAAAGCCCCGGCUAACUACGUGCCAGCAGCCGCGGUAAGACGUAGGGGGCGAGCGUUGUCCGGAAUUACUGGGCGUAAAGAGCACGUAGGCGGGAUUUUAAGUCAGGUGUGAAAGACCGUGGCUCAACCACGGGGUUGCACAUGAAACUGGAAUUCUUGAGGGCAGGAGAGGAAAGUGGAAUUCCUGGUGUAGCGGUGAAAUGCGUAGAAAUCAGGAGGAACACCGGUGGCGAAGGCGACUUUCUGGACUGACCCUGACGCUGAGGUGCGAAAGCGUGGGUAGCAAACAGGAUUAGAUACCCUGGUAGUCCACGCUGUAAACG
rnacentral:rRNA from 1 species